GGCUUCAUAGCUCAAUUGGUAAAGCAUCGCACCGGUAUCGACGAGGUCAUGGGUUUGAAUCUCGUUAUAGCCU